rnacentral:lncRNA from 1 species
AUCAAGUCUUUAUUUUUUUGUAGAUGUUUACAAGUAUUCUAUAUGCAAAAACAAAAACAUUCAAAUAUUAAAUUUUCAUAAUUAAAUUUUUCUCAUUGAAACUCUACAAAUAAAAGUUAUUGUUCUUCAUAACAAAUCUGGUUCAACACAUUCCAAUCAUGUAACUACCAUAGUAGACUUUGCUUAUUAUUUGUACAUAUUAAGUUAUUUAACAUUUUUCUUCUAAAUAAAUAACUAUUCUAAUUUUAGUAACUACACAUAUAAAAAUUAGGAUGCC